rnacentral:rRNA from 1 species
AACGUAGGUUCCGAGCGUUAUCCGGAUUUACUGGGCGUAAUGCGCGUUCAGGCGGUUUGGCAAGUCGGGCAUGAAAUCUCUCGGCUCAACCGGGAGAGGUUGUCCGAUACUUCCAGACUUGAGGGCAGUAGAGGGUGGUGGAAUUCCGGGUGUAGUGGUGAAAUGCGUAGAUAUCCGGAGGAACACCAGUGGCGAAAGCGGCCACCUGGACUGCACCUGACGCUGACACGCGAAAGCUAGGGGAGCGAACGGG